GAUGCUUCCAGCCGCUCCAGUCCGCCUCUCCCAUCCGCCUCACAGCGUCCUGUCAACCGAAGGUUACAACGACAACAACCGCUUGCUAAUAUCAUCAUUGACGGCCAUAUUAUCAUUAAAAAAAUAGCAUACUUUGAAGCUUUUUCUCGCUCCCAUUUCCAGUUAUCGUGCGGCGACUGAAAAAAAGACACAUAUGCGCCGAGACAGUCGCUGUUGUUAUUUUCCGUUUUAUUCCGGAGCUAGUUGGACGGGACAGCCGAGCAUCGACUGAGCUUCCUGAGCCAUACCCACUUCCACGGUCGUCCUCACACCCGAGAUGUUGCCCCGCCUGAGGGGAGUUUUGCGGCCCGUCCUCUACCUGCAAGCCGGUAGAAGGUCGCUCCAAGCCGAACUCUUGGGCCACCGAGCCGAACCUUUGGCAGUGUCGGCUGCAGAGCUCCCGGUCUCCGCGCUGGUUCAGCGGCGUCACCUCGGCACACACCCGCUGAAAGAGCCCGUAGAGCCCCUCAACUCGCCACAAGGAGCCAAGGAGUUUAUUUAUAGCCUCCAUCCGUCUGAACGAACCUGCUUGCUGCGGGAACUGCACAAGUUCGAGUCCAUCGCCAUAGCUCAAGGGCAGCUGGAAAUAGCGCCCCCUACUGCAGCACAAUUAAGAUAUGUUCUCCUGCACAAUGCACUCCCUUUUGUUGGAUUUGGAUUUCUGGACAACUGCAUUAUGAUUGUUGCCGGCACACAGAUUGAGUUGUCUAUUGGCGUAAUCCUUGGCAUUUCAACUAUGGCAGCUGCUGCUCUUGGCAAUUUGGUGUCCGAUCUGGCAGGACUCGGGCUGGCAGGUUACGUGGAAGCUCUGGCAUCUCGACUGGGGAUGCAGAUUCCCGACCUGAGUCCAAAGCAGGCCGACAUGUGGCAGACCAGAGUCAGCUCCCACUCGGGCAAAGCCAUCGGCGUGGGCAUCGGUUGCAUCCUGGGCAUGUUCCCCCUCCUCUUCUUCAGUGACGACGAUGACAAGAAAAAGGCAAACAAGGACGCCAACAAGGACAAGACGGAAACGCCUAAAACUGCCAAUGACGGCAAGUGAGCUAAGUGCACUCACACUUUGGACAAAUGGACCAAAACAGAUAGCCAAAUAGGCCAAGGCUUUAGAUCUUAUUGAAGAGCUUCGUGAAAGUGAAGCACAUGGACAUCUGCUCCCGACAUCAUCAUCAGCUUGCUUUUGGGAACGAAAGGAGAUAGACUUGGUUUUGACCAACAUGAAACUUUAAUUUAACGUCAUUCCAAAUCUAAUGUUAAAGACCUCUAAUAUGGUAAAAUAAAAUGUUCUUUCAUUUUAAAUCUCAACUAUCAUGAGAUGUAAGUGAAUUUAUUCCCAACUCCUAUUGAACAGACACAUUUUUGACAUUAGAAAAACGAAGCAGAAAUGCCAUUUAAAGUAUCGACAGUAUAGUGAAAGAAUGACGAUCUCAGUUCACUUGGGCCUUGUUGAGCUUAACACAAAGGUCGGGUGAAUAGCAACAGGUCGAUUGUACCUUCUUCCAUUUAGUGGAAGAGUUUUUAAUUACUCUCUGGCAUAAAUAGAUGAACAUUGAUUGUAGUAGAUAAUUUGUUUUGGGACCCGGUAAGUGAAAAUGGAUAAUUUCUCACAGGUCCUUGCAGUAGUUGGGAAUGAGGGCACUCUUUUAUGUCUCUACUGCACUCUGCUGGUUAAGAUUCUAAAUUUUUCCGGUCACAUUAUUGGCUACACUUCCACCCCUCUCAUGAGCUCAAAUCCAAGAUCUGAAUUAACAAUUAUUUCCUUACAAAAUAUAAUAUUUACUUUUCAAUUAAGAGCAUGUUUAGUAUUGUGGAAGUGCAACUCUCGAGGAGACAAAGUUUCAAAUAAUUUGUCCCUCAUGUUGCUCAAUAAAUAUCAGAAAUAACUACUUGUCAGUUAAAUCUGAGCAUUUUUGUUAUUGUUAUGAUGGUGAUGUUUGAAAAUGAGCAAGUGUGGCUUCUGCCGUCCUUUAUCUUUUAAAAUGUACUUCCGUUGCAUCUCAGCAGCAGAACAAUGUUCUCUCUUUUUGGGUUUUCGCCCUUGAGACACUUUUGUGUUUUAGCUGCUUUGCAUUUCAUUUACUGCAUAUAUAGUGUUUAUUUAAAGCUGCCCAUUUGUAAGUUGACGUUUUUGGAUCUUUUGGUUUUCAUAAAUGUGACGGAUUAAUGAAGGAUGGAAUCGUGGCAAAGUCAAGCUUUUUUUAGCUUGCAAAUCUUGAUGCAAUAUGAUAGAACGCAAUAUACAACUAACAAGGCACAAGUUGAGUUGAACAUGAAAAUAUCAACAUGAUAGUGAUAAGUUGUCCCAUUCAUUUUACUCACAUUUAUCAUUUAUUUACUCACAUUUAUUUAUCAUGUACUUGAUGUUCUUAUUUUUAGAGAAACAAUUGUAAUAUGACUGCAAAGAUUACUUAACAGAAAAGAUGAUGACACUUAUUCCACUUGAUAUUUAUUUAUAUAAUACUUGUAUUAAAUGACUGUUUAUUUGUUUUAUUUUUGGUUGGUUGUCAUGAUGACUGUUAUUUUGUGGGAAGUUUAGAAACGCAUGUACUGGACUGUAUUUCUUUCUUUCCUUUAUUAGUUUGUGUUCCAGCUUGAGAAGUGGUUCUACGCCGCAUGCUAAUGCCAGCAUGGGUGUAAAGGAUUUGUAGAUAAUGCAGAAAAUAUUUUUUUCACGGGCAAUAGCUGUGGUGGACCUGUGGUCAAAACAGACCAAAAAAAGCCCGAUCGGACUCCUUCUUCAGCCUGACAGCUUCUUCCUUACUGCUGGUGUCCAGUCCAGAAGCUCCCUCACCUAGGACCUACAGUAUUUGCCAUGGCAAACCCAGAAAGGCCAAAUCGUUAACACCAGCAGCACUGGCAAACACAAGCCCCUUCUCCAUGGUAAGGUGACAAUUUUAACUCAGCUCUAAUAAGACCAAUAUUAGUAGAAGACUGCCAAAAAAAAAAGAGCUUGGGAUGUUAGACAUACAAAUAGUUCCUUUAUGGGCAACAUAAAAUAAAUGCUAAUAAAUAUUAAUCUUAUUCAGCAAUGUUUGUUGAAAAAAACCAAGUUGGUCUACAUGACUUUAUUAACAGUGUCUAAAUGUGAUUAGUAGUUUUUGUUGUUUGCUUUUGUUUACACUGAAGUUCCAAAAAUUCAAGUUGUCAGGAAGCUUUAUUGGUUAAAUUUCAUGCAAUUAAAAAAAAUAUGUACAGUACAGUUUAAAAAAAAAGAGAAUAGAAAAAAAAAAACCACUCGCUCACAGUAUGUUUUAUAUCGUGUGUAAACCAAAAAAAGAUGAAAUUCACACUGAAUACAUUCUCUAACAAUCCAGCCAUACUGUGCACUGACAUAUUUCUCUUUUGACUAAAACCACCCAACAUAGGUGCAUAAUCACGUCAAAUGGCAAUAUGUUUGGGAGCAACACUGACUUUUUUUUUCUCCAUUAAAAAAUUCUCAACGUCUAUAAAUAGGAGCUAUAUUUGCUGUUUAACAACACAUAAAAUCAGUGUCAAUAUUUGUCGAUUCAAGAUUCAUCAUUUUACCAGCACUUAUACCUCCAGAAUUAUACAUUUACCUUAGAAUAUGUCAAUUUUAACAUAUUUAAAAAGAGAAUAACAGUUUUAUCGUAA